rnacentral:rRNA from 1 species
UACAUGGGGUGCAAACGUUGCUCGGAAUUAUUGGGCGUAAAGCGCGCGUAGGCGGUUACUUAAGUCGGAUGUGAAAGCCCUCGGCUCAACUGAGGAAGUGCAUCCGAAACUGGCAGGCUAGAGUAUGUAAGAGGGUCGCGGAAUUCCCGGUGUAGAGGUGAAAUUCGUAGAUAUCGGGAGGAACACCGGUGGCGAAGGCGGCGACCUGGGACAAUACUGACGCUGAGGUGCGAAAGCGUGGGGAGCAAACAGG